rnacentral:ncRNA from 1 species
GUAAAGUUUUAUUCUUGCUUAGUAUAUUUAUUGUGAUGUUAUUAUACAUGUGAAUUUUUGUAAUUUGAUUAUUCUGGAGGAUAUAAUUAUAAUUGUUUAUGCAGUGUAGAGUAUUAUAAAUUCAAGUGAUUUUGAUUUAGUAAUUUUCCUUAGUGUUGAUUAAAUAUGUGCCAGCAAUCGCGGUUAUACAUUGGAUACAAGUAAAUAUGAUUAGUUGAAUAGUUAAUAUGUUGUUAGGAGGUUGAAUAAGAGAAAUUGUAAGGUGGAAUAUGCUAAUUUUUAGUGAACUUUAAUUUAAAUUUGUUGAGGCUGUGAAAUCUUAAUUUUAAACUAGGAUUAGAUACCCUAUUAUUUUUGAUGUAAAUUUUUUUUGACUUGAGUAGUAGUAGCUAUGUUCUUGAAACUUAAAGAAUUUGGCGGUAUCUUAGUCUUUUUAGAGGAAUCUGUCCCUUAAUUCGAUAGUCCGCGAAGGACCUUACUUAAUUUUUUAAUUUGUAUACCGCCGUUAUUAAAGAUUUUUUUAGAAUUAAUUUUUAGUAUUUUAUUGAAUAUUUUUCAGGUCAAGGUGCAGUUUAUAAUUGAGUGGAGAUGGAUUACAUUGUUUUAAAAUAUACGGAUUAUUUAUUUGGAUUUGGAUAUUAAGGUGGAUUUAAAGGUAAUUUUAUUAAGAAUGUUAAUGUGAUUAUAGCUCUAAGAUAUGUACAUAUCGCCCGUCAUUCUCAUUUAUUGAAGAUGAGACAAGUCGUAACAUAGUAGGUGUACCGGAAGGUGUGUCUGGAAUGAU